ensembl:lncRNA
AUGUGCAUUAAAAAUGACUCACAUUAUGGUGUUCAGAUGGCCUACCUGUCCAUCAGAUCAGUGAGAGAGGAGCACAGCGGCACAUACACCUGCACGAGUACAAAUAAAAACUCAAAGUCUGUUGAUGUUCAUGUCUCGGGUUAGUAGACUUCAUUUCAUGUCAUUAUUAUUUGAAACUGUUCCCACUGAAUAAAUCUGACUGGUUUAUUCUUGUGUUUCCUCAGAUGAAGGUUUCCUCUCUGCACAGCUGGAUGAGACCAAGAUCAUAUCAGCUCAGGAGGCAUCCAGCACCUGCUUGCAGGCCACUGUUUCCUACCAUCCUGUUCUCCAGCACUGUUCCUGGGAGACUCCUGACAAAAAAAGGACUAAAUGUGUCAGGGAGACAUGGGUAACACAGCACAGGUACUUCAAUGAAGCAAACUGUCACCAUGUAGAAGUGUAAAAAUAUCCAUUCAUUCAUGUUUUUCAUGAUCAGCAACAGAGAACUGCUGCUGUCCAGUGUAAUCAUGUGAUAUGAGGUCUAUAAUGAACUGUUUCUCAGUGAAGCUUUGUGAUCCACUCAUAUCAGGAGAUUAUAAGUUACACCUGGAGGCUGGAGAACAAAAUGAAACAAAGACCAUAUCAGUGUGUGUUGUAGAUGAACCGAAGUUCAACUUCUCGUUUAAUAAGGAUGAUGGUACCAUCAACCUUGAGACUGCCAGUCUGGUGCCAGCAAACUAUACCUGGAUGUUUUGCUCUAAGUCCAAUGACAGCUGUGAAACAGACUCGUCCUGGGAUGAGGUCCCAAAUGCAUUUAAAGCAGACUCUGUUUCCUGCAACAAGACGAUCAAGAGCUCAGUGAAACCAGACCUCGGGGAUGGACAUCAUUUAAAGUUUUGUCUGACAAACUCACUUGGCUCCUGGUGCCAAAGUUACCACAUAAUCAUCCCACCUGCAGUCCAGUACUCUAUAGGUAAUAACCAGUAUUUGCAUCAGAAAAUAUUUGAUGAAAUUCAUUUAAAGCUGUCAUGCUCACUGAAAAGCUGUCGUUUGUAGGUAAACAACCUCAGGAUAUCAUAUUCCUGCUGAAAGCAGGCAAUAUAACUCUCCUUCUGGCUCUGGUAGUAGUCAGCACAGUGCUCAUAUUCUUCAUCAAAAAGAAGGUAAAUAUAUUCAGCUUUUUUAACAAACACAAAUAGAAGAGGACACCAAGUCAUUUGUCUUUGCAAUAUAAACCUCAGUAUCAGCCUUCAAGGGAGAUUAAUUUAAUCUUUCAGGAUUUUUGUUUGUUUCAUAAGAGUUUGGUAUCUCUGUAACAGUAAUGUAUUUGUGUAGCACUUUUUAAAACAGUUAUAAAGUGUUUCACACUCAGGAUAAAGCUGUCAUAUCCAACAAUGGUCAUGUUUUCAGAAGACUGUGUUCAGUUUUAAAAAGGUUUAUUUUACAGAAUUUCAGAUCAACAGGGGAGAGUCUGGAGCUACAAGAGUCUCGGGUGAGUGUGUGUUCACCGAACGAGAACGGUCUUCUGCUAGAGAAAAACAGAUGAGGGAUAUUUUAUUGGGAUGAGGAUUUGAGGUUUUACUUGAAUAUUUUUCCAGAGUAGCUGGAAGAGUAAGUAGAAGGCCAGAGUCUAAGGAUUCAAACAAAAAUUACAGAGAUAGUUUACUGCAGCCAAUACCCCAAGAACCUGACAAGGAGCGUAGGCUUGAGCUGGUGCUUAAAUACAUGGAGGUAAUGAACUGAUGUGAAACAGGUGUGUUGGCUACAGCAGUGCCAACCUAAUCUCCACCUAAAAGCAGAGGAAAGACGAGACACUACACUCAUUAGAUAUAAACUAUGGUCAAAAAUAAUGUGCAAAGAUGCAGGAAAAGCUAAUCUGCAAAAAUGAGUUUUCAGCAGCCAGUUAAAUUCAGCCAAGCUGAUUGCCAAACAGACGAUAAGAAGACAUCUAAUUAGUUAUAGCAUUGAAGCAUUCAUGGAGGUGGGAGAGGCUGCUGAGGCUAAACAGAAAAGCCCAGCUGUGUGUUGUCAGCAUAGCAAAUGAAAGCAGACGUGGUCCAAGGAUUGAACCCUGAGGGACUCCACGUAUGCAAGAAGCACAAAAGCACCAUUAUCAAUGAGUCAUACUGCCUCUUAUUUUUUCAGCUCCAUCAUCCAGCUCUCAACCAGACUUCCUGCCACUACAGGAAUGUAUCAACCACUGUGGACAUUUCUGAGGGAUAAAACAGAAAAAAGACUCUGCUGGCUGGUCUAUACUUACACAUCAGAGCCAGACAUUUAAGCAGCUGAGGACAAUCUUCUGCAACCAGCAGAUACAGAGUGAUCACCUAUAUAACAUUUUAUGCAUACAAAAUGUUACACAAUAAUAAUCUCUUAAAAAUUAAGAGUAGAAUGAAUUUGCUUUACAUUUUAUUAAAAUAUAAUAAGCAUUUUAUCAUUUCAGGUGGAACUGGGGAAAACAUAUUUAGCCUAUGUUUAUCAUACUUUCCAUAAUGUAUUACAGUGUUUAUCUAUAUACUCCAACUUGAGCAAAAUGCAUGAAGGAAGUGAGUCCUGAAUGUGAACAAAAUUAUUUUUGUAUGUAAGUUUCAUAAGAUGUAGUUUUCUUUAACAGGGUUGUAAAUAUUCUAAAUAUAAAUAUACAUAAUAUAUCUGGGGGGGUUAUAUAUAUUUAAGCAUUAUACCUGAAGUACAAUAUGUUUUAUUCAUUAAAAGAAAAGCUGGUAAUCAUAUAUUUAUGUUAAUCAUGUGUAUGUGUCUAUUUUAUUUUGGUCCCAAGAGAAAAGGAAUCUAACUUUUAUGAGAAGGUAAGAAGCAGAGGUGGGACCAAGUCAUUGUUUUGCAAGUCUCAAGUAAGUCCCAAGUCUUUAUCCUCAAGUCACAAGUCAAGUCUCAAGUAAAGUCAAGCAAGUCAGAGUCAAGUCGCAAGUCAAGACAGACAACUUUCAAGUCAAGUCCCAAGUCCGAAACUUUGAAUUUCAAGUCCUUUCAAGUCUUUUUUUUAACCCUCUGGGGUCCCGGGUAUAAUUGGCCGUUCUUGACUACUUUUGAUUUUACUUCUAUAUUUCACUUUUAAAAUAUGUUUUUCUUGCCUUGUUUGGUAUCAUUAUUUACAGCACAACCUCAAAUAUCUGAAAUUUGAGUUAUUUUUUCCAUUUUGG